rnacentral:rRNA from 1 species
CCUACGGGUGGCAGCAGUGGGGAAUAUUGCACAAUGGGCGCAAGCCUGAUGCAGCCAUGCCGCGUGUGUGAAGAAGGCCUUCGGGUUGUAAAGCACUUUCAGCGGGGAGGAAGGCGUUAAGGUUAAUAACCUUGGCGAUUGACGUUACCCGCAGAAGAAGCACCGGCUAACUCCGUGCCAGCAGCCGCGGUAAUACGGAGGGUGCAAGCGUUAAUCGGAAUUACUGGGCGUAAAGCGCACGCAGGCGGUCUGUCAAGUCGGAUGUGAAAUCCCCGGGCUCAACCUGGGAACUGCAUUCGAAACUGGCAGGCUAGAGGCUUGUAGAGGGGGGUAGAAUUCCAGGUGUGGCGGUGAAAUGCGUAGAGAUCUGGAGGAAUACCGGUGGCGAAGGCGGCCCCCUGGACAAAGACUGACGCUCAGGUGCGAAAGCGUGGGGAGCAAACAGGAUUAGAUACCCGAGUAGUC